AGUGAACGCUGGCGGUAGGCCUAACACAUGCAAGUCGAACGGCAGCACAGUAAGAGCUUGCUCUUACGGGUGGCGAGUGGCGGACGGGUGAGGAAUACAUCGGAAUCUACUUUUUCGUGGGGGAUAACGUAGGGAAACUUACGCUAAUACCGCAUACGACCUACGGGUGAAAACAGGGGAUCUUCGGACCUUGCGCGAUUGAAUGAGCCGAUGUCGGAUUAGCUAGUUGGCGGGGUAAAGGCCCACCAAGGCGACGAUCCGUAGCUGGUCUGAGAGGAUGAUCAGCCACACUGGAACUGAGACACGGUCCAGACUCCUACGGGAGGCAGCAGUGGGGAAUAUUGGACAAAGGGCGCAAGCCUGAUCCAGCCAUACCGCGUGGGUGAAGAAGGCCUUCGGGUUGUAAAGCCCUUUUGUUGGGAAAGAAAAGCAGCAGGUUAAUACCCCGCUGUUCUGACGGUACCAAAAGAAUAAGCACCGGCUAACUUCGUG
rnacentral:rRNA from 1 species